rnacentral:rRNA from 1 species
GAAAAGCGUAGUCGAUGGGCAACGGGUUAAUAUUCCCGUACUGGUGGUAACUGCGAAGGGGGGACGGAGAAAGCUAAAUCAUCCGGGCGACGGUUGUCCCGGUUUAAGCGUGCAGGUGGACUGACCAGGCAAAUCCGGUCGGUUGUUAACACUGAGGCGUGACGACGAGCCACCACGGUGGUGAAGUGAUUGAUGCUCUGCUUCCGGGAAAAGCCUCUAAGCUCCAGGUUACCAUUAAUCGUACCCCAAACCGACACAGGUGGUCAGGUAGAGAAUACUCAGGCGCUUGAGAGAACUCGGGUGAAGGAACUAGGCAAAAUGGUGCCGUAACUUCGGGAGAAGGCACGCUGGCAUUAGGUGAAGUGGUUUACCCAUGGAGCUGAAGCCAGCCGCAGAUACCAGCUGGCUGCAACUGUUUAUUAAAAACACAGCACUGUGCAAACACGAAAGUGGACGUAUACGGUGUGACGCCUGCCCGGUGCCGGAAGGUUAAUUGAUGAGGUUAGCGUAAGCGAAGCUUCUGAUCGAAGCCCCGGUAAACGGCGGCCGUAACUAUAACGGUCCUAAGGUAGCGAAAUUCCUUGUCGGGUAAGUUCCGACCUGCACGAAUGGCGUAAUGAUGGCCAGGCUGUCUCCACCCGAGACUCAGUGAAAUUGAACUCGCUGUGAAGAUGCAGUGUACCCGCGGCAAGACGGAAAGACCCCGUGAACCUUUACUAUAGCUUGACACUGAACAUUGAGCCUUGAUGUGUAGGAUAGGUGGGAGGCAACGAAGUGUGGACGCCAGUCUGCACGGAGCCAUCCUUGAAAUACCACCCUUUAACGUUUGAUGUUCUAACCCGGGUCCAUAAUCUGGAUCGGGGACCGUGUCUGGUGGGUAGUUUGACUGGGGCGGUCUCCUCCCAAAGAGUAACGGAGGAGCACGAAGGUUGGCUAAGCAUGGUCGGACAUCAUGCGGUUAGUGCAAAGGCAUAAGCCAGCUUGACUGCGAGAGUGACGGCUCGAGCAGGUACGAAAGUAGGUCUUAGUGAUCCGGUGGUUCUGAAUGGAAGGGCCAUCGCUCAACGGAUAAAAGGUACUCCGGGGAUAACAGGCUGAUACCGCCCAAGAGUUCAUAUCGACGGCGGUGUUUGGCACCUCGAUGUCGGCUCAUCACAUCCUGGGGCUGAAGUAGGUCCCAAGGGUAUGGCUGUUCGCCAUUUAAAGUGGUACGCGAGCUGGGUUUAGAACGUCGUGAGACAGUUCGGUCCCUAUCUGCCGUGGGCGCUGGAAGAUUGAGAGGGGUUGCUCCUAGUACGAGAGGACCGGAGUGAACGCACCACUGGUGUACGGGUUGUGAUGCCAAUUGCAUUGCCCGGUAGCUAAGUGCGGAAGAGAUAACCGCUGAAAGCAUCUAAGCGGGAAACUUGCCUCGAGAUGAGUCUUCCCUGAUUCUUUAAGAAUCCUGAAGGAACGUUUGAGA